rfam:Plasmodium knowlesi strain H chromosome 9, complete genome
UUGUGAAUGAUGACAAAGCUUCUCAUAUGUUCGCAGUUGAGAGUUAAAAAAAUAACGACUCGAUGAGUUAUCACGUAGCCUUCACUUAGAUGUCUGACACAGAAG